AGGAACCGACCGACCACCAAAAAUAUAGGAAACAAAUGUAGACUCUCAGGUGCGCGCCAGAGGCAAAGCAAAACUUCAGUUUUUAUAUCUCUUAAACAAAAUAAUAGAAAUCUUAUUCCGAUAUGAAAUAAUUGGAUUUAUUAAAUAGUGUCUAAGUUGAAAAUUCUAACAAAAAACGAAAAAAGAUCUACCAAUCAUUAAUACCAUAAUUGGAAACAUUUGUCUUGGCUUACCCACCGGAAAAAUUAAACAAGCUAUAAAUUAGAAUUUGUGCGCUGCAUUUGAAAUGAAAUGAAAUUGUCUUGGCUUAAUCAAGUGUUCGAAUUGAUUAGUGCGAGUACAUUGCAAUUGUACGAGGAUAGCGGUCGGUUCCUGCAUCAGUUUGUUGGCAAUCAGACGCAAGCGUUGAUUUUAUUACAAGAAACGUGGCGUGCUAACGUUCUGCACUGGGCGAUUCUAUCGUAUCGACGCUUCAGUUCGACAGCAAUCGAAGCCCUGGAGCAUAUUAUUUACGCGUGUCUGGUGUACUUGCUAGUAUGCCUGGGCAUUUUUUAUACAACACGCAGCAACAGCCCAUUGUGGCGUUGGUGCAAGCUGAUCAACAAUGUGCGCUUUCCAAGACAACACAAAUUGGAUCGUGUUUUACUGGUGACUUCACAUCCGGACGAUGAAUGCAUGUUCUUUGGCCCACUAAUAUACACAUUAACACAUCGUUCCAGCUGCCAAGUGUACGUGUUAUGUCUGUCCAACGGUAAUUAUGAGAAACAGGCACAAUUACGACGUGAAGAAUUAUGGCGUUCAUGUGAAAUGUUGGGUGUUCCAGCUGCGAAUAUUAUAAUGGUGAACGCAACAAACCUUCCAGAUGACCCUAAUGUUGAAUGGAAAGCACCAGUUGUUGCUAAUUUAAUACUACACACCGUUGAAAGUCUAGAUAUUCAAGCGAUCUGUACAUUCGAUCGAGAUGGUGUGAGCCAACAUCCCAAUCACAGUGCAGUUUAUUUCGCUGCAGCGUCACUCUGCUUAGCUAAUUUAUUACCAAAAGAAUGCAAAUUUUAUACGCUGGACUCCAUAAAUAUUUUAAGGAAAUAUAUUUCGAUUUUCGAUUUGCUUUGUACAUGCUGCAUUUCGUCAUACUGGUGUAUAUUGGGAUGGGAUGAGGCUGCACAAAUACGUCGCGCUAUGCGUGAACAUAAAUCCCAAAUGAAAUGGUUCCGUUGGUUGUAUAUUUAUUUUUCACGAUAUAUGUUCAUAAAUUCGUUGCGUGAGGUGAAUCUUUCGGACAUCGAAUUGGAGAUGCAAAUUGACGAUAAUACCUUUUGAUUUGCAUCAACUUACAUUAGCUUUAAACAAUGCCGCAUACAGUCAGCCAGCCAAUAGUAAAAACUGAAUUAAAUCUAAAAAUAAAAUCAGACAAACCAGACGUACCACGUUGUAAUAAAAAUCUAUGUAUCAGUAUGUGUAGCAGCAAACACCGAAAAUGCUCCAACAACACAAAACUUAAAAGACAGACAUACAAUAGACAACACAUAGCGCCAGCAACAACAAUCAUUGCAGCUGAAUAAAACCAUAAAUAAAAAAGCUUACAAGAACUAUUUUCACAUUUAUGAAAAGCUGACCGGUGCAAAAAUACAUUAAUUGACUAACUGCAAUAAUAAUUUUGGUGCUGCUACAAAAAUGGCAAUAAUAAUGAUGAUAAUGAAGUUUAGUGACGGUGGUGUUGUCGGCAGAGUGUCACGAAUGUUCAGUAUCUGGCGCCGAAAACUUUUAGAAACAGAAAACCAAAACCUAGGGUAACAAAGGGAAUGUGAAGUCAUUUGACGGCGUGUGAAAACGCUUUUGCCAACAAUAAUUGAUCAACAUGUGAACCUCUACAUACUAUUCGUACAUCUAAAAAAUGUAAUAUAUGCGCGUAAAUUUUAAGUAUUGGGUACAUGAAAAGCCAAAAACACAUAU
rnacentral:misc_RNA from 1 species